rnacentral:rRNA from 1 species
GAUGAACGCUGGCGGCGUGCCUAAUACAUGCAAGUCGAGCGAACAGACGAGGAGCUUGCUCCUCUGACGUUAGCGGCGGACGGGUGAGUAACACGUGGAUAACCUACCUAUAAGACUGGGAUAACUUCGGGAAACCGGAGCUAAUACCGGAUAAUAAAUUGAACCGCAUGGUUCAAUAGUGAAAGACGGUUUUGCUGUCACUCAUAGAUGGAUCCGCGCCGCAUUAGCUAGUUGGUAAGGUAACGGCUUACCAAGGCAACGAUGCGUAGCCGACCUGAGAGGGUGGUCGGCCACACUGGAACUGAGACACGGUCCAGACUCCUACGGGAGGCAGCAGUAGGGAAUCUUCCGCAAUGGGCGAAAGCCUGACGGAGCAACGCCGCGUGAGUGAUGAAGGUCUUCGGAUCGUAAAACUCUGUUAUUAGGGAAGAACAAAUGUGUAAGUAACUAUGCACGUCUUGACGGUACCUAAUCAGAAAGCCACGGCUAACUACGUG